AGAGUUUGAUCCUGGCUCAGGAUGAACGCUGGCGGCGUGCCUAACACAUGCAAGUCGAACGGGCUUAACAUGAAACCUAGUGAUUGUUAAGUUAGUGGCGGACGGGUGAGUAACGCGUGGAUAACCUGCCGUAUGCAGGGGGAUAACAGUUGGAAACAGCUGCUAAUACCGCAUAAGCGCACAGUACCGCAUGGUACGGUGUGAAAAGAUUUAUCGGCAUACGAUGGAUCCGCGUCCGAUUAGCCAGUUGGCGGGGUAACGGCCCACCAAAGCGACGAUCGGUAGCCGGCCUGAGAGGGCGGACGGCCACAUUGGGACUGAGACACGGCCCAAACUCCUACGGGAGGCAGCAGUGGGGAAUAUUGCACAAUGGGGGAAACCCUGAUGCAGCGACGCCGCGUGAGUGAAGAAGUAUCUCGGCAUGUAAAGCUCUAUCAGCAGGGAAGAAAAUGACGGUACCUGACUAAGAAGCCCCGGCUAACUACGUG
rnacentral:rRNA from 1 species